AGAACGAACGCUGGCGGCAUGCCUAAUACAUGCAAGUCGAACGAACUCUUCGGAGUUAGUGGCGCACGGGCGCGUAACGCGUGGGAAUCUGCCUGGUAGUGGGGGAUAACGCUCGGAAACGGACGCUAAUACCGCA
rnacentral:rRNA from 1 species